CUACCGACGCUGAGAGGCGUCGGGAUGAGCGGGCAGAAGUCAGCCGAGGUCGUACGAGCCGGCCUGACCAACCGGCCAAGGGC
rfam:Deltaproteobacteria bacterium GWC2_65_14 gwc2_scaffold_976, whole genome shotgun sequence.